rnacentral:rRNA from 1 species
GGGGAAUCUUCCGCAAUGGGCGAAAGCCUGACGGAGCAAGACCGCGUGGGGGAGGAAGGUUCUUGGAUUGUAAACCCCUUUUCUCAGGGAAGAACAAAAUGACGGUACCUGAGGAAUCAGCAUCGGCUAACUCCGUGCCAGCAGCCGCGGUAAUACGGAGGAUGCAAGCGUUAUCCGGAAUAAUUGGGCGUAAAGCGUCCGUAGGUGGCUGUUCAAGUCUGUCGUUAAAGACCGGGGCUUAACCCUGGAAAGGCGGUGGAAACUGAACGGCUAGAGUGCAGUAGGGGUAGAGGGAAUUCCCAGUGUAGCGGUGAAAUGCGUAGAGAUUGGGAAGAACACCGGUGGCGAAAGCGCUCUGCUGGACUGCAACUGACACUGAGGGACGAAAGCUAGGGGAGCGAAUGGGAUUAGAUACCCCUG